rnacentral:rRNA from 1 species
CACGGGGGGAGCAAGCGUUGUUCGGAAUCACUGGGCGUAAAGGGCGUGUAGGCGGUCUGGUAAGUGGGAUGUGAAAGCCCCCGGCUCACCCGGGGAUCUGCAUUCCAAACUGCCAGACUUGAGUAUGGGAGAGGACAGGGGAAUUCCUGGUGUAGCGGUGAAAUGCGUAGAUAUCAGGAGGAACACCGGUGGCGAAAAGCGCCCUGUCUGGCCCCAA